rnacentral:rRNA from 1 species
UACGUAGGGGGCAAGCGUUGUCCGGAUUUAUUGGGCGUAAAGCGCGCGCAGGCGGUGAGGUAAGUCCGUCGUGAAAUCUCCCGGCUCAACUGGGAGGGUGCGGGGGAGACUGCCUGACUGGAGGCACUCAGAGGCCGGUGGAAUUCCCGGUGGAGUGGUGAAAUGCGUAGAGAUCGGGAGGAACACCAGUGGCGAAGGCGGCCGGCUGGGGGUGACCUGACGCUGAGGCGCGACAGCGUGGGGAGCAAACAGG